GGAGAAGUGGCAGAAAAAUGUGGUUAACUUGAAAUUAAUUGAUAAAGGUUAAAUUCCUUUCUUCUCUU
rnacentral:tRNA from 1 species